rnacentral:rRNA from 1 species
ACUCCUACGGGAGGCAGCAGUGGGGAAUUUUGGACACUGGGCGAAAGCCUGAUCCAGCAAUGCCGCGUGAGUGAAGAAGGCCUUCGGGUUGUAAAGCUCUUUUGUCAGGGAAGAAACGGUGAGAGCUAAUAUCUCUUGCUAAUGACGGUACCUGAAGAAUAAGCACCGGCUAACUACGUGCCAGCAGCCGCGGUAAUACGUAGGGUGCAAGCGUUAAUCGGAAUUACUGGGCGUAAAGCGUGCGCAGGCGGUUUUGUAAGUCUGAUGUGAAAUCCCCGGGCUCAACCUGGGAAUUGCAUUGGAGACUGCAAGGCUAGAAUCUGGCAGAGGGGGGUAGAAUUCCACGUGUAGCAGUGAAAUGCGUAGAUAUGUGGAGGAACACCGACGGCGAAGGCAGCCCCCUGGGUCAAGAUUGACGCUCAUGCACGAAAGCGUGGGGAGCAAACAGGAUUAGAAACCCGAGUAGUCCCA